rnacentral:rRNA from 1 species
UACAGAGGGUGCAAGCGUUGUCCGGAAUUAUUGGGCGUAAAGAGCUCGUAGGCGGUCUGUCGCGUCGGCUGUGAAAACCCGGAGCUCAACUCCGGGCCUGCAGUCGAUACGGGCAGACUGGAGUUCGGCAGGGGAGACUGGAAUUCCUGGUGUAGCGGUGAAAUGCGCAGAUAUCAGGAGGAACACCGGUGGCGAAGGCGGGUCUCUGGGCCGAUACUGACGCUGAGGAGCGAAAGCGUGGGGAGCGAACAGG